rnacentral:rRNA from 1 species
UACGUAGGGUGCAAGCGUUGUCCGGAAUUAUUGGGCGUAAAGAGCUCGUAGGCGGUUUGUCGCGUCUGCUGUGAAAACCCGAGGCUCAACCUCGGGCCUGCAGUGGGUACGGGCAGACUAGAGUGCGGUAGGGGAGAUUGGAAUUCCUGGUGUAGCGGUGGAAUGCGCAGAUAUCAGGAAGAACACCAAUGGCGAAAGCAGCUUUCUGGGACGGUACUGACGCUGAGACGCGAAAGCGUGGGGAGCGAACAGG